rnacentral:rRNA from 1 species
UGCCUAACACAUGCAAGUCGAACGCUCUCCAUUCGGUAGCAAUACCGAUGAAGAGGGAGUGGCGAACGGGUGAGUACCACGUGAGCAACCUGCCCCGAAGACUGGGACAACACCGGGAAACCGGUGCUAAUACCGGAUAUCCCUAUCGGACCGCAUGAUCUGAUAAGGAAAUGGAUUCCGCUUCGGGAGGGGCUCGCGGCCUAUCAGCUAGUUGGUGAGGUAAUAGCUCACCAAGGCAUCGACGGGUAGCUGGUCUGAGAGGACGAUCAGCCACACUGGGACUGAGACACGGCCCAGACUCCUACGGGAGGCAGCAGUGGGGAAUCUUGCGCAAUGGGCGAAAGCCUGACGCAGCAACGCCGCGUGGAGGACAAAGGCUUUCUGAGUUGUAAACUCCUUUCAGCAGGGACGAUUGUGACGGUACCUGCAGAAGAAGCACCGGCCAACUACGUGCCAGCAGCCGCGGUAAU